AGAGUUUGAUCAUGGCUCAGAUUGAACGCUGGCGGCAGGCCUAACACAUGCAAGUCGAACGGUAACAGGAAGCAGCUUGCUGCUUCGCUGACGAGUGGCGGACGGGUGAGUAAUGUCUGGGAAACUGCCUGAUGGAGGGGGAUAACUACUGGAAACGGUGGCUAAUACCGCAUAACGUCGCAAGACCAAAGAGGGGGACCUUCGGGCCUCUUGCCAUCAGAUGUGCCCAGAUGGGAUUAGCUGGUUGGUGAGGUAACGGCUCACCAAGGCGACGAUCCCUAGCUGGUCUGAGAGGAUGACCAGCCACACUGGAACUGAGACACGGUCCAGACUCCUACGGGAGGCAGCAGUGGGGAAUAUUGCACAAUGGGCGCAAGCCUGAUGCAGCCAUGCCGCGUGUAUGAAGAAGGCCUUCGGGUUGUAAAGUACUUUCAGCGGGGAGGAAGGUGUUGUGGUUAAUAACCGCAGCAAUUGACGUUACCCGCAGAAGAAGCACCGGCUAACUCCGUGCCAGCAGCCGCGGUAAUACGGAGGGUGCAAGCGUUAAUCGGAAUUACUGGGCGUAAAGCGCACGCAGGCGGUCUGUCAAGUCGGAUGUGAAAUCCCCGGGCUCAACCUGGGAACUGCAUUCGAAACUGGCAGGCUUGAGUCUUGUAGAGGGGGGUAGAAUUCCAGGUGUAGCGGUGAAAUGCGUAGAGAUCUGGAGGAAUACCGGUGGCGAAGGCGGCCCCCUGGACAAAGACUGACGCUCAGGUGCGAAAGCGUGGGGAGCAAACAGGAUUAGAUACCCUGGUAGUCCACGCCGUAAACGAUGUCUACUUGGAGGUUGUGCCCUUGAGGCGUGGCUUCCGGAGCUAACGCGUUAAGUAGACCGCCUGGGGAGUACGGCCGCAAGGUUAAAACUCAAAUGAAUUGACGGGGGCCCGCACAAGCGGUGGAGCAUGUGGUUUAAUUCGAUGCAACGCGAAGAACCUUACCUGGUCUUGACAUCCACAGAACUUUCCAGAGAUGGACUGGUGCCUUCGGGAACUGUGAGACAGGUGCUGCAUGGCUGUCGUCAGCUCGUGUUGUGAAAUGUUGGGUUAAGUCCCGCAACGAGCGCAACCCUUAUCCUUUGUUGCCAGCGGUCCGGCCGGGAACUCAAAGGAGACUGCCAGUGAUAAACUGGAGGAAGGUGGGGAUGACGUCAAGUCAUCAUGGCCCUUACGACCAGGGCUACACACGUGCUACAAUGGCGCAUACAAAGAGAAGCGACCUCGCGAGAGCAAGCGGACCUCAUAAAGUGCGUCGUAGUCCGGAUUGGAGUCUGCAACUCGACUCCAUGAAGUCGGAAUCGCUAGUAAUCGUGGAUCAGAAUGCCACGGUGAAUACGUUCCCGGGCCUUGUACACACCGCCCGUCACACCAUGGGAGUGGGUUGCAAAAGAAGUAGGUAGCUUAACCUUCGGGAGGGCGCUUACCACUUUGUGAUUCAUGACUGGGGUGAAGUCGUAACAAGGUAACCGUAGGGGAACCUGCGGUUGGAUCACCU
rnacentral:rRNA from 1 species